rnacentral:rRNA from 1 species
GACAGAGGGUGCAAACGUUGCUCGGAAUUACUGGGCGUAAAGGGCUCGUAGGCGGCCAACUAAGUCAGACGUGAAAUCCCUCGGCUUAACCGGGGAACUGCGUCUGAUACUGGAUGGCUUGAGUUUGGGAGAGGGAUGCGGAAUUCCAGGUGUAGCGGUGAAAUGCGUAGAUAUCUGGAGGAACACCGGUGGCGAAGGCGACAUCCUGGACCAACACUGACGCUGAGGAGCGAAAGCCAGGGGAGCAAACGGG